UCUUUCUUCUUGAGUUACUGGUAGAUGAAGACUUUUAGUUGGUGUUCUACCUUUCUUCUUCCUUCUCGGUUUCACGGAUGCCCUGUGCUGAUGACCGAACGCUUCUUCGGUUGGUAAGGAGGUAUUCAUCUUGAUUUUUUGCCGAGGAUUGAGAAAGGUAUCUUCGCCUCAGAUAUUCUCUUACCUUUGAUCUAUUGCCGAGGCUGAGAUUGGUAGAUCCGAUUGGAUCUUUGUUGCCUUCUAUUCGAUACUCUGUUGCCUUCUUGUUGAUUUCGAUUUUGGAUAUUUUAUACCUCAUAUUGUACCUAUUUUUCAGGACUGAUUUAUAGUGGAUUGCUCCUCCUUCCCGUGGAUGUAGGCCCCUUGUGCCGAACCACGUAAAUCUUGGUUUCUUUGUCUUUAUUUAUUUAUGCCUGCAAUGUGUUUGGCGAAUUAUCUCAAAGAGAUUAGACAUUAGAUCAAAAGCCUAGAUUGAUCCUAUCUGGUGCACGUGAUCUCAACAAUUGGUAUCAAAGCACUUGGAUGGCUGGUGACAAGAAACAAAAUUUUUCAAUGGUUAAUAAUCCGGCGUCUGUCUCUCACUCCACCACCAUCAGGCAUGAAGUGGCUAUCUUUAAUGGCACGGGAGACUUUUCACUAUGGAAGGUAAGGAUGAAAUAUUUGUUGGUUAAAGAAGGUGUAGCAAAAGUCCUUAAGGGUAUGGAUUCAAUCCCGGGAGAUAAUGAGGCUGCUAAAGAAGAAAUUAAUGAGAGUGCCCUAGGAACCUUGUUUUCAGAUUUAAGUGAUAAAGUCCUACGCAAUAUUGUGGAACUAGAUACAGCCAAAAGUGUAUAAGAAAAACUAGACAGUUUAUAUAUGGCAAAAUCCCUGACUAAUAGAUUAUAUUUGAGGAGAAAAUUAUACACAUUUCGCAUGACAGAAGGAACUUCACUUAAGGAUCACUUGGAUGAGUAUAAUAAGCUCCUGCUUGAUCUAGUAAAUGUUGGUGUCGAUAUAGAUGUAAGAAGAUAAGGACUUUGUAUUCUUAAUUUACUCUUUGUCCUAAGUCCUUUAAGUAGAUUACCACUAUCAUGCUUUANNNNNNNNNNNNNNNNNNNNCUUAGAAUUCCGCUUCGGGUGAACCUCUAUUUCGCGGAGCUUGUUUUUUCUUCUUUAAAAGGAGGCCGCGGCAUCCUUUUUUAUUUUUAAAGGGGUGCGCGGUGGUUCCUGAUGUUCUUGCGCGGGCUUGGUUCUUGGCUUUCUCCCGCUGGUGUUCUUCCUGACGUUCUUCCGCUGGUGUUCUGUUGGUGUUCUCCAUGGUGUGUCGUCUCUCUUUCUUCUUGAGUUACUGGUGGAUGAAGGCUUUUGGUUGGUGUUCUACCUUUCUUCUUCCUUCUCGGUUUCACGGAUGCCCUGUGCUGAUGACCGAACGCUUCUUCGGUUGGUAAGGAGGUAUUCAUCUUGAUUUUUUAUCGAGGAUUGAGAAAGGUAUCUUCGCCUCAGAUAUUCUCUUACCUUUGAUCUAUUGCCGAGGCUGAGAUUGGUAGAUCCGAUUGGAUCUUUGUUGCCUUCUAUUCGAUACUCUGUUGCCUUCUUGUUGAUUUCGAUUUUGGAUAUUUUAU
rnacentral:lncRNA from 1 species